rnacentral:lncRNA from 1 species
AUUCCAUUGCACAAGACAACACACUGAAAUCUAAAAAAUAUUGUAGGUCCAUGAGAAACCUUAUCGGCAUACUCAGGCACUUGAUCACAGUUCAUACUUGAAAAACCCUAAAUCAACCGACAGUACUCAGCAAAGCUCUUCUUCCUUGUGAGACUGAAUCACGCAAUCUGAAGUCGGGUAUGAAAUGCAAGUCAGCAGAUAACCAGCCUCCAUUUGAUUGUCAUCGAGGAAGGAACCAUCUGACUGGUCAACUGAACCAGACACCAACUUCCCAGCACACGUCGAGCAAGCACCAGCGCGGCAGGAAUAGGGCAGGUCGACUCCUGCUUCCUCAGCUGCAUCGAGGAUGUACUGGUCUUCCUGGGCCUCAAACUCAUGCUCUUCACCGUUAGGUCCAAUCAGCUUAAUCUUGUAGACAGCCAUUGAUGCUUGGAAAUUGGGAGAGCAUUUCAGGCCAAAGGUCUUGGAGAUGCCCUUAACAGACCCAAGUGAGGAUGGGCUCUUGAUUAAGUUCCUUGAUAGUUGAUUUCUGGGUGCAGCUUUAACCAUGCACGGGGCACUAAGUGUCACAGUCGACAUCUUUACCCCUGAAUGUCAUGAGUUCACGGCAGAGUAAGAAUUAUCAGGAUAAUGCAUUCAACAAAAGCCACAUCAAGUCAUCCAUGACAACAGCAUCACAAAAAGAACAUUAACAGAAAACAUAUAAGAUGAAGAAAAAAUUGAAUAAGUACAAUCACAUCAUCCUAAAAUAUCUUCUGGGAGGUUUGGGCGGAAAGAGACUAGACUGUAUGAUUCAUUAAGUCAAUGUCAGAAUUGACUAUUUGGCCACAAGUUCAUACCUCCCAGAGGGCACAAAAGUACUAGGAAAUAAAUGUUAUAAGGGUGCUUCAUAUUGAAUAAAGUAAAAUAUUAGAUUUCCUAGGAACAACACUUUGGUUAAAUUUCAGAUACAAAUACAAUGACAAAACAGCUAGAUUUCCUAAGCACUCACAAACCAUUUCCAAGCCAAUUUAGUAGAAUUUGUACACCAUGUCAAAAUUAUGUGAAAAUGGAACCAAACAAACCAUUUCUGUAACAACAUGGUAGUUGAUGUUUGGAGCACAAUGAGAAGAACAAGCUAGCGGCUAUCUGCUCUUCACUCGAGGCUCCACCUUAUUACCAAAGAAAACACAAUUGUGGACCGACUUGAAUGAGAACGGUAAUUGUUUUUCAUUUUGAAAAUAAAAAAUAUGUUUAGUCGCAUGUUACAAGCUUUGUUGUCAAAAACAAAAGAAAGUGUUCUCAAAACUAUAGCUAAAAGGUUAAAAAAACAAUAAGAAGUUGUUUUCCACCAUUUUUAAGAAUGGUUCUAGAAUAAGACCAAAAAAAAUAUUAUGAUUUCAAGUGGAUCCCACACAAUUAGACGCAAUGCAUCGCGUUUGUAUUUAUCCCACACCAUUUAGCUUUAUUUUAUUUCAGGUGGAUCCCUUUAAUUCAUUUUCAAAUAUGAUAACAAACAUAUUUUUUGCUUCCAGUUUUAAAAUAUUGUUUUAGAAAACAAUGUCAAACAUGUAUUGAUUCUCAAAGAAUCAUUUUCAUUUUCAUUUACCAUUUUCAAACACCAUUUCCACAAAAAAAAAAAACUCCAAACACAACCUUAAAAAUGAUCUCCUUCAGGAUGAAAAUGUGUUUGUAUGUGAGAAAAAAUUUGAUUAUGACUACGUCGCACCCACACGUUGUCUUAUUGUAAAACGAUUUUCAGAACCGAUGGAAAACAACAAUUCUUUUUUUUUCCCCCUAUUCAGCAACAAUUUGAAAGAACAUGGUUUUUUUUUUUUAAUUUCUUCAAAAGCUUGUUUUACAAAACCGGUAACCAAAUGAAUUCUUCCCUAUGUUCUUACUGCGAAUUCAUUAAUCACCAACAGUUGUUUGCAUCAAACUCCAACAAGUUUAAGAGAUGUUAGCCAUAAUAUGUCGUCUAGUCUAAAACAAUUCUUUGAGACGAUUAAUAUAUCAUAGCGGUGGAAGGAUCUUAAAUGGCGAUGAAAUUAGAUUCUUUUAAAGAAAGAGUAUUGUGGGAAAUUGUAAAAUUUGGUGAGGGAUUUUUUCUAGCAGAAAAGAAAAUUUUAGAAAGCUUUGGACAUAAUUAUGUGACAACAACAAACACUCCUACAAUAUCAGUCUUCCUUGAUUCUCUUGAACUCUCAGCCGCACCUUGACGACUGAAUCAAUAAAUCUCUAUUAACAAUAAUAUUAUUAUAUAUCUCCAGUUCUACCAUUCUUGAAAUGAAACAAAUGCAACCAAACUAACAAAGAAUAAAAUGAAACACUCAAAAGAUCACCAUCCAUAAGCAAAUCAUAAGGAUCAUCAGAACAAGUGAAAAGGGGAGAUUAAAGGGAGGAAGAGAUCUUACAGAAAAGCAAGAGAUCGAGCGGCGGAGCGCGCGAGGUGGCGAGUGGGUUGGUGGGUGGCGGUCAAGUGAAAUGAAUUGGCGUUGUGUUUGUUGCGUUUGAG